CUUGACAGUGCUUUUGAUCACCCAUGUUUGCUUCCUGUGGUACUCUGUAGCGUUUGUGACUCUUGACCGUUGGUACUGUAGCCUUAUGGUAUGAGCUGCUAUUCUGUGGUUUCAGUGUCUGGCGAUGCAUGACUGGAUGCAUCUGAACUAAAUACUUGCCAUGUGGUUGUGUGCAAUUGGACUUGCUCACCCUCUCAGUCCCUUUCAUUUUCACCCUAUGUUUAGACAUAGUCAUGGCACUUCUGAUCUAACCUAUGCACAAAACCUGACUUCUUUGUUUGGUGUUAACAGUCUGUUGCAGACAUUUAUUAGAAUACUCUACUGAGAUCAAGUGAAUGUUCUUUCCUGAAAACAGGAGUGUAGGACUGCAAUGAAGUGCUUGCAAGGAGACACUAUAAUGCAGAACCUUUAGUUAUCUCUCUACUAGUGAUUCAUAACCCUGAUGCUCUAAAAAACUCCUAUAUCAGACACAACAGAGCUGAUUGUUGCACUUGCCAGAAAUGUGCUGUUCUGGUAUUUUACCCCUCAUUAAAGAUAUGCUGAGGAUAGGAGUGUGUCAAAAUUGGUUGCAAGGAGGCGCCCGUCUUCUAGAGCUGGGUUCCUUUCUUUCAAAAUCAUCAGGCCUGCCCUUUCAGAACACAUAUUCAGAUACCCUAAGCACCACCCUAUAAGACAUCCUUGAGGUCCUAUGCCCAGCUCUUCUCUCAAAGAUGUUCCACCUUGCAUGAAAGAUUGAGAAUGUGUAGAAGUGGUUUAUACCCAAGGAGUCAAUAUAUCAAUGAAGAAGAGGGAAGACACAGAUUCCAGUUCUUGCACAAACAAAUACACAGAGUGAAAGUGCUCCAACAAGAAGAGGGAUGCAAAGAUUCACCACUCCAGAACAGCCUGUGACCCUGAAGUUAGGUCUCUGUACUGGAAGGUGAGUAGUCUAAGUUCAAAUCCCCUCAGUCAAAAUGAUCUCCCUAUGUCAAAUUUAAUAUAUACCAAACUUCGGGGUCAGAUAGAGACUUGGGAUGCACAAUAAAAGGAUUGUUGUGUGGAGAGAAAAAGACA
rnacentral:lncRNA from 1 species